UUCCGGUGAUCCCCGCCGGACCCGACUGCUAUCAGAGUGGGACUAAGCCAUGCGAGUCAACGUAGCAAUACGUGGCAUACGGCUCAGUAACACGUAGUCAACAUGCCCAGGGGACGAGGAUAACCUCGGGAAACUGAGGAUAAACCUCGAUAGGCCAUGAUUUCUGAAAUGAUUCUUGGCUCAAACCUAUAUGGCCCCUGGAUUGGACUGCGGCCGAUCAGGCUGUUGGUGAGGUAAUGGCCCACCAAACCUAUUACCGGUACGGGCUCUGAGAGGAGGAGCCCGGAGAUGGGCACUGAGACAAGGGCCCAGGCCCUAUGGGGCGCAGCAGGCGCGAAACCUCUGCAAUAGGCGAAAGCUUGACAGGGUUACUCUGAGUGAUUUCCGCUAAGGGAAUCUUUUGGCACCUCUAAAAAUGGUGCAGAAUAAGGGGUGGGCAAGUCUGGUGUCAGCCGCCGCGGUAAUACCAGCACCCCGAGUGGUCGGGACGAUUAUUGGGCCUAAAGCAUCCGUAGCCGGUCCUGCAAGUCUUCCGUUAAAUCCAGCUGCUCAACAGAUGGGCUGCGGGAGAUACUACAGGGCUAGGAGGCGGGAGAGGCAAGCGGUACUUUAUGGGUAGGGGUAAAAUCCGCUGAUCCAUAGAAGACCACCAGUGGCGAAGGCGGCUUGCCAGAACGCGCUCGACGGUGAGGGAUGAAAGCUGGGGGAGCAAACCGGAUUAGAUACCCGGGUAGUCCCAGCUGUAAACGAUGCAGACUCGGUGAUGGGUUGGCCUCGCGCCUGCCCAGUGCCGCAGGGAAGCCGUUAAGUCUGCCGCCUGGGGAGUACGGUCGCAAGACUGAAACUUAAAGGAAUUGGCGGGGGAGCA
rnacentral:rRNA from 1 species